rnacentral:rRNA from 1 species
GCAUAAUCAUUUGCCUUUUAAUUAAAGGCUAGUAUGAACGGGAAAACGUAGAUUUAGCUGUUUCUAUUUUAUAAAUAAAAUUUAAACUUUAGGUGAAGAUCCCUAAGUUUUAUAGAAAGACAAGAAGACCCUAUAGAGUUUCAGUAUAAAUAUUCACCCAUAAUAAUUUAAACUUUGGUUGGGGCGACCUAGGAUUUUUAUUAACAUCCUUUCAUCACUUCGACACUUAAUUCCUCAUUAUUGACCCUAAAACAGAUCAUCAAAAUAAACUACCUUAGGGAUAACAGGCUUAUCAUCCUAAAGAGUUCUCAUCAACAGGAUGGUUUGGCACCUCGAUGUUGGCUUAGAGUAACUUCCUAUCGCAACAGAUAGAGACAGUCAGUUUGUUCAACUGUUAAAUCUCU